CGAUUGUAGUCAUAUGCUUGUCUCAAAGAUUAAGCCAUGCAUGUCUAAGUAUAAGCAAUCUAUACUGUGAAACUGCGAAUGGCUCAUUAAAUCAGUUAUCGUUUAUUUGAUAGUACCUUACUACUUGGAUAACCGUGGUAAUUCUAGAGCUAAUACAUGCUAAAAACCCCGACUUUUGGAGGGGUGUAUUUAUUAGAUAAAAAACCAAUGCCCUUCGGGGCUCCUUGGUGAUUCAUAAUAACUUAACGAAUCGCAUAGCCUUGUGCUGGCGAUGGUUCAUUCAAAUUUCUGCCCUAUCAACUUUCGAUGGUUAGGUCUUGGCUAACCAUGGUUUCAACGGGUAACGGGGAAUUAGGGUUCUAUUCCGGAGAGUGAGCCUGAGAAACGGCUAACACAUCCAAGGAAGGCAGCAGGCGCGCAAAUUACCCAAUCCCGACACGGGGAGGUAGUGACAAUAAAUACUGAUCCAGGGCUCUUUUGGGUCUUGGAAUUGGAAUGAGUACAAUUUAAAUCCCUUAACGAGGAACAAUUGGAGGGCAAGUCUGGUA
rnacentral:rRNA from 1 species